GAGGUUCCAUAUUUUUCUUGCAGAUAUCGAUAGUCAAAGUUGGGGAAGGGGGACGGUGCGGGGAAGGUUCCAGAUUUCCACAACUUCCAGAUGUUGAGCCCGGCCACGCACAGCAGCACGAAGAAGCCCACCAGGGUCGCCAACAAAAACUAACGUGACAAGGGAGGAAACAGAGACUACCAGCAGCCUCCUCUGUGUCUCCAGCUGAAGCAGCUCAGACACAAACAGCAAACCCACUUGCUCAGAGGGCAGCAGAUUCGCCACACUGGAUGUAAAUAGGCCAUAACUGCUGCUGUUUUCUGCUAACAGCCAGGAAGAAAGAAAACAAGAAAUUCCCUCUAUUGGAGCUGCAUGUUAAAACAGGUAAACCAGCAUAUGAGAUGGACGAGUCUCAUCCAGACCGGGCUCCAACCCCGCACCUGGGUCACUGUGAAGUCACAGCCACAGUGUCAGAUCGGCAUGGCCGCAGACAACGUAGACACCGUUUGAGAGAAUCUGAGGGAGGAGGCCAAAGUGAACAAAACAACAUGAAUGAAGAUGAGAGAGAUGGAGUCCUAGAACAUGCAGAAGCUGCAGAAGAAGAGGGAUAUGUGGAUCAAGCAGAGGCAGGAGCUGUGGAAGAGGAGGAAUAUAGUGAACAGACAGAAACAGACAAACCAGCAGCUAAGAGACUUAGAGUAGAAUGCCAGUUCUGUGAGCAAAGCAGUGCAGAACUAACCCGUGUUUUGCAGGAAAAUAGGGAGCUGAGUUGAACAAGUUAAAAGAUGGAUGAAGAAUUUUUCAGAGAUAAUACAGAGAAGGUACGAUAUUAUACAGGACUUCCAUGUUUUGCAAUUUUGUUGUCAAUGUUUGCUACAGUUAAGCCCUUCCUGCCAGUUUCAAAGAAGCUGUCACAAUUUCAAAUGGUUUUACUUGCACUCAUUCGUCUAAGGCUCGAUCUUCCAAUCCAGCAUCUUUCACACAUAUUUAAUGUGUCACGUAGAACUCUUUCUGCUACCUUUGCCGACACCAUCGAUGUGCUGUAUGCACGCCUAUCUCCCUUGUUGUACUGGCCUGAGAGACGCUGUUUACAAGCCACACUGCCACAUCAAUUUUUGGAAGCUUUUGGAAAGCGUGUUGCGAUUAUUGUCGACUGUUUUGAAAUACGUACAGAGAGGCCGUCAAAUUUAAUAAUCCUUUUCCCACUACAAAGGUACACACACAAUGAAAUACUUGAUCGGAAUUACACCCCAAUUUCGCCCUAAUUUCAUUUAUUUCAAAAGGGAUGGGGGGGACGAGCAUCUGACAAGCACAUAACUGAGAAUUGUGGACUUCUUAACAAACUGUUGCCUGGCGAUUUAGUGUUAGCGGACCGAGGCUUUGAUAUUAAAGACAGUGUGGGAAUUAUGUGCGCGGAAGUUAAAACUCCUGCAUUCACUAAAAGCAGAUGUCAACUCGAUGCUAAGGAUGUGGAAGACACACGUGCUAUAGCACACCUUAGGAUACACGUAGAAAGGGUAAUAGGUAGCUUGCGCAAUAAAUACAAACUAUUACAUAACACAGUACCAAUUAGUUUGUUGCUUCCCUGUAAGGAUGAAGAAUUUACCCUUCUUGAUAAGAUUGUUAAUGUUUGCUGUAUUCUAGUUAACAUGUGUCCAAGUGUUGUUGUAAGGCCAGAUGAAACCGAAAAAUGUGCAUGCUGAACGGUAAAAAGACCCUAGGAGAAAUGUUUGUUUUCUAUUUGGUGUGUGUGAGAUUGAGAUUGAACGUGUUUUUUUUUUUUUG